AGGCACGGUUAAUAUUUUUGAUGGAAAAAAAUUAAGCUAGCUGGACAACAUUGCUGGUAGCUAACUAGUUAACGCAGCGGUCUACCUCAGCUAUUUGGGUACCUAACCAAAUUAGCUAGCUGACGUUAGUUGGUUAAUGACUUGUCCAAGGAAGUGUUUGCUGUCCACCACUCAUGAAUUGGACAGGGUCCACCCGUCCCUUGCAAAAUCAGGCUGGAUAUAUAGUUAGGAAAAGGUACCUUUAACCGUAGCUUCCUGGGUCUAAUGGCAUUGGCCCAUGAAAGAGCCAAAGGCCAAGAUGCAGAGCUACGAACUGCUUUCAAAGUGUUUGACAAAGAGGUCAAGGGAUAUAUCGAGUGGAAUACACUGAAGUACAGUAUGUGUUGAUGAAUGCAUCAGAAUCACUGAAUGAGUUGGAGGCAGAGCAAAUGAUGGAGCCAGAUAAAGAUUGAGAUGGAACCAUCCCAAGAAGCCAGAAAUGAAGAGAGAACAUUAUGUUGGUCAGGUUUGACCGUGUUGGUUACUGUCCUGAACAUCAUGCUUCACCUGUUUUGAUAAUGUAUUAUAAUAAAACAAGACAAUUUC